UACAGAGGGGGCAAGCGUUGUUCGGAAUUACUGGGCGUAAAGGGCUCGUAGGCGGCCAACUAAGUCAGACGUGAAAUCCCCAGGCUCAACCUGGGAACUGCGUCUGAUACUGGAUGGCUUGGAUUUGGGAGAGGGAUGCGGAAUUCCCGGUGUAGUGGUGGAAUGCGUAGAUAUCGGGAGGAACACCAGUGGCGAAGGCGGUUACCUGGAGCUUUGCUGACGCUGAUGCGCGAAAGCGUGGGGAGCGAUCCGG
rnacentral:rRNA from 1 species